AAGAACUGAGAGAUCAGGAUAGUGGAAGGAUCAUAUAUGCGUAUAUUGAAAUUACCAGGAAUUGUGACAAGCAUGGGGUUGAAGAGAGUGUCUGUGAGCCAGGAACUAAAAUAUCCCAGAAGUGAGAAAAGACUUUGGAGCUGGUAGAUGAUUGCAAUAGGGAAUGAUAUUUGGUGAUGUAGUCUACCCACAUUGAAUUCAAUGAUUGUUUCUUUAUUCUUUACUUUUUAGGUAGGAGGUUUGGAAAAGAUCUUGUAAUGAUAAAGGAAGGGGGCAACAGAAACUACUUGAGAAGGCUGCAGGUGAAGUACUGUAUUCACAAGAGACCAGAAGGCUAAAGAUCACAAAAGCUAAGGGAGUACUCAGAAGAGAUGGAAGCUAUAGGGCUUUUCAGUGCCUGAGAAGGGAUGGGGCCCACCCAGUGGUGCAGCACUUAAGUGCACACGUUCUGCUUCUUGGCAGCCCAGGGUUCACCGGUUUGGAUCCUAGGUGUGGACAUGGCACCGCUUGGCAAGCCACGCUGUGGCUGCUGAUGAUAAGAAUGAAGUCUGUCCCAGACCCACUGCCACUGAACUGGAGACAAGCAAGGACUCUGCAGCGUGAGAGCAUGAUCUACCCAGUGGAACCUGCAAUCAGAGGCACAUGGGGCUGAUCCAGAGAUGCUGUGUCACUCAAGAUAGAAGGAAAAAUCAAGCUGAAAUGAAGUUUCUGUGACAGGUGGAAAGGUUUAUGUUGCUUGAAGCAUUUAUUUUACAUGCAAUUUUAAGAUUGUGGAUCUUUCUAAGAUAAGAUUGAGGAUUACUUGGAGGGAAAUCUCCAUCUCUGUGUUUGUAAAUACUCUCUCAUCUGAAACACAGUAGAGCAGAGCAUGAGGAUCUGGGAUGGUAACAACAUCUUGCAGCUUCUCUUUUUGCUUGAUGUUGCUCAAGCUCCAUCCCCCAGAAAUGGCUCCAUUUACGAGAAUCAGAUCACCCUUCCAGGAUGCCAUCUAGCUCCCCGUGUUACCCAAACUUCCCAUCAAAUCUGUAAGUCCCAUAACAUGAGGCAGUCAUUUCAUUUUCUGCUCAGGUUAGACCGAGUUGGUUUUUACUGUUUGCAAUGAAAAGUUGUGACUGAUAAAAAUAUGUUUCCAGAUUUGACAGAAUUAAAUCAUCAAAUUUUUUUCUCACAAAAUAUUUAUAGUUGUACUAAACUCUUUUUUCUAUUAAAAUUUGGAAUAAUUUAUGGGGUUGUAAAACAAGUCUCAGUAGUAUAUUGCUUAGGGUUGUGUUAUAGUU
rnacentral:lncRNA from 1 species